GAUGCAAAGGCGUUCCGAGUCUGUGUGCCUAAAGCCGUUCGUAGGAUUGGAAGGCAAGGGCGUCAGACCGAUGGGUGAAGCUGGAAACGGCUCCGCCUGCCACCUUCGCAAAGGGGCGCCAGACUUUGGCGG
rnacentral:ncRNA from 2 species